GGAAACCUUUAAAACGAUGUCACGGAAGGAUAUCCUCUAGUAAAAAUGUAUAUAUAAUCCUAAUGUAUUUAAAUUAGAUAUUUUUUUAGUAUAUUUGUUUUACUCAAGAAAUAACAGACAUUCAAACAUAUGUUUAACUAAAAUGAAAUUGAUGAUGUAUAUGCAUAUAACGAAUAUAAAUGUAGUGUAAUAUUUCUGCAGUUUCUGUAUUUCGUUGAAACAUUUUAUAAUUACCAAGGGCUGUCAAGUGUGUGAAUAGAUAAAUAAAAAACCAAUGAAGAAUACCGACAUCUUUGAAUUCCGUUUUGCACAUAUAGUGUAUGAUAAUAAUGUUUAUAAAGACUUUGUGACAUUUUGUGGUGAAGAUAAUUUAAAAAAAUCUUAUAAUUCCUUAUAGUUAAAUGUAAAUCAGUUUGCUGUACAUGUGAAUAGAAAUUUAAAAAAAAAUUAAUAUAUAAAAUUCAGAUCUGAUGACCAUGUGAACGAUAUAUAAAAUUAAUUUCGGUUGAACUCGAUGAAUUAGAAUAAAAUUAUUUUCUUUUGUGGAAACGCCAAUAAACGAUAGGGCCGGGGCGUAAGGUUUUGUAGGUUAGUCGUGUUCGAUAUGUAUUCAUUCUGGCGUUCAAACUUUGCACGGGAAAGUUUAAAGUGUAUUGUUGUGGUAAUCAGUCCUUGAUAAGGUUCUUAUUGAGUAUACCGGUAUUAUGGAAAUGUGCUCUUGAGCAUAGAUGACAAGCUGCUUGUCAAAUGAAAAUUUCAGAAGUUUUCAGAUGUGGUUGAUGUUGAAUAUCGCAGAAUAUUGAUGUUAAAUAUUGCAGAUUUUGUGGAAGUGACCUUCUGUAAUGCAAGAAUGCAAAUGCAAAAAAUAAAUAUUGUAUUUUG
rnacentral:sRNA from 1 species